CGAAAGAUGGGCUCGGUAUCACUGAGAUAGACGAGAAAUUCACCAGGAAUCUCAGCAACUUUUGUUUUCAUAAUUCAUACAGUCCAAAUGCCGGAGCACAAAACAACACAGGCAACGUGGAUGUUUUAAUGCAUUGAACAGUAUACGAAUAUAAACCAAAGAACGUUUUUUUCAGUUAACUUUCCCAAUUUGUGUUUUUAAUGAAACCAUACAAUUGACAGGAGGUUAAACUAUAGAUUGUCCAAUAUUAUUUGAAGUGAUUUGUGUGCACAUGGCUUUCACCGUUUAGCUUUGAUAUUCAUUCAAAUGUGUAAAAACAUACUGUAGCAGUAACACUGAAACCGCCCGUUGUAGGUGGAUGCCACUUAGAUGUUGAGGUAGAAACAUAGGUCCCCGAGUUUUGCCUUAUUUUCAGAUUUCACUCGGGAUGUGAAACACCUUGAUUAAGAUGAUCAAAUGAAUACUUCAUUGCCAGUGAAGGGGAAUGCGACGGUUUCCUUUUGCAGUUCAAGUGGUAGUAAGCAAGGACCAUUCGGCAGUGCGGAAUGUCCGUCCGCACCGGGUCCAGCCCCCCACUCUUCAAUGCGUGGUCCACUGCCCGACCCAAAGGCAAGGGGAACACGGUCAGCCAGCUCGUGUCUGAGAGACCCGAAGGCAAGGGGAAUGCGAGCAGGAACUCGCUCGUGUCGGGGAGAGAUAUCACGAGAUAGGAGAGAAAUUCACUCGGUGUCUCAUGAGUCUUUCAGCCACUGAUCAACAAGCGACCAACUUUUGUUUUGAUAGUAAGUGCAGUCCGAAUGUCGGAGGACAAAAUAACACAGACAAAGUGGAUUCAUGUUUUUCUUUUAUUAGAUAAUAGACUAUUCCAAUAUACACCAAAGAACAUAAGCACAUUUUUUUAAAGCCAUUUCACCAAUUUGUGUGUUUAAUGAAAUCAAACAAAAGACAAGAGGUUAAACAAUAGAUUGUCCUAUUUCAUUAGAAAAUAUUUGUGGCCACAUAGCAUACUCUAUUUACAAGUGACAAAAAUGUCCAUAUGUAAAAACGUAUUGUUGCAGUAAGGUUCAACCCAUCCGUUGUUGAAAACCACUGUAAUGUUGAGAUUAAAGUCUAUGUUCCCAAAUAAUAUCCUCUUCUCAUAUUUGACUCGGCGCUGGAGUCCUCCUUGUUAACGUUCAAGUUUUCCAAUAUACACCAAAGAACAUAAGCACAUUUUUUUUAAAGCCAUUUCACCAAUUUGUGUGUUUAAUGAAAUCAAACAAAAGACAAGAGGUUAAACAAUAGAUUGUCCUAUUUCAUUAGAAAAUAUUUGUGGCCACAUAGCAUACUCUAUUUACAAGUGACAAAAAUGUCCAUAUGUAAAAACGUAUUGUUGCAGUAAGGUUCAACCCAUCCGUUGUUGAAAACCACUGUAAUGUUGAGAUUAAAGUCUAUGUCCCCAAAUAAUAUCCUCUUCUCAUAUUUGACUCGGCGCUGGAGUCCUCCUUGUUGAAGUUUUACGAACUGAUGGUUGAAUUCGAACCCAACGUCACGUGGACCACAGAAGGUGGGUGUUUCCUUCUCUGCUGGCGAGGUAGAAUACAAGGGAGAGUCCGCUUCGUUGAAACAUGCAGCAAGGAGAAGUGCGAUGAUAGAAAUCCACUUCAUUGUGCCGGUUGGUAGGCUUGGCUUCAAAUCUUCUCUCCUGGUUGCUGGUAAACGCGAUGAACUGGUUGUUCUUUUCUCGGAUGAAGGUUUUCCGAUGAAGGUUUUCCGAUGGAGUUUAUGAAUAUAUUUUUCGAAGUCCAGUAUGUCAAAACAAUGUCUAAGAUCGAUGUCGAUUGUCCUUUCUGUGGAUAUAGCUGAUCCUUUCCUCACACUUCUCCGCAGGACUUCAACUUGAGUUUAUGUAUAUAUUUUUCGGUUUCCAGUGUUUGUAAUGUCGAUUGUCCAACCGCGGUCCUUUUCGCCGAAGACUCGGAAGGUUUUCGGUUGGCGUUUAUGUUAGAGAGUUGUCGAUUUUCCUAGCUCUGUAUACAGCCUACCGGUCCUUUCCUCAGACUUCUCCGCAGGACUUCAACUUGAGUUUAUGAAUAUAUUUUUCGAUUUACAGUAUGUAAAAACAAUGUUUAGGAGAGAUGUCGAUUGACCUAGCUCUGUAUACAGACUACCUGUCCUUUCCUCAGACUUCUCCGGAGCACUUCAACGUACGUUUUUUAAUAUGUAUUUUCUUCGAUUUCAAGUAUGUAAAAACGAUUUCAAAGAUAUCUGUCGAUUGUCCUAGCUCUGUAUAGUCUACGGUCCUCUCCAUGGCCCUGACCACUAUAGAGACUUUUUCAUGAAAUCGUGUUGUUUUUUCACACGAACCUCUGGAGUCGACAGAACAAUGAUAUAUACCAUGUAAUCAGUUGUAUAUGGAUUUUGUGUUAAUUGAUGAAACGUCAAACCAGGUUACCUGAGUCUAAGGCCUCAUAUUAUUAUUCUAAUUAGUCUAUUUGUCUUUGAUUCUUUUACAUUUGAUCUCCAAGAGAGACUGCUGAACAAUAAAGUACACAGUUCGGACUUCUGUGUGUGUGCGUCAAGGACGGCGGGUGCAUUUUUUAUCUGUAGCCUACUCUUGCUCCGGCUCCACUAUUAUCCCUAUGUUCAGUGCAGUGAGUGGUGGUUGUUUUAAUUUAAUAUAAAGGACAGAUGGACCUAUGGUUAGUUUCAAGUCUCGAUUUUCAAAGUUUAUUCAGCAAAUGCAUCGAAUAACACAGCGUCAUCCUGAACAAUGAAAUUCUUGUGACAUGGCCCACCGAAAGUAAGAACUUCCGAAAUAUGUCAAGUAAAAAUAUUGUUCGUGACUCUUGGAAGAGUUUGAUAAAUCACACCCCCCAUCGAUUCACUGUACCAAUCACAUAACGCCACCCAUCAGACCACCAAUCACAUCACGCCACCCAAUAUUUACCAUCAGUGGCUUGGGGACGGACCCAAAGUGAUGUGAAACAAGGUGAAUGCGAGCAGGAACUCGCUCGUGUCGGGGAGAGAUAUCACGAGAUAGGAGGGAAAUUCACUCGGUGUCUCAUGAGUCUUUCAGCCACUGAUCAACAAGCGACCAACUUUUGUUUUGAUAGUAAGUGCAGUCCGAAUGUCGGAGGACAAAAUAACACAGACAAGGUGGAUUCAUGUUUUUCCUUUAUUAGAUAGACUAUUCCAAUAUACACCAAAGAACAUAAGCACAUUUUUUAAAGUAAUUUCCCCAAUUUGUGUGUUUAAUGAAAUCAAACAAAAGACAAGAGGUUAAACAAUAGAUUGUCCUAUUUCAUUAGAAAAUAUUUGUGGCCACAUAGCUUACUCUAUUUACAAGUGACAAAAAUGUCCAUAUGUAAAAACGUAUUGUUGCAGUAAGGUUCAACCCAUCCGUUGUUGAAAACCACUGUAAUGUUGAGAUUAAAGUCUAUGUCCCCAAAUAAUAUCCUCUUCUCAUAUUUGACUCGGCGCUGGAGUCCUCCUUGUUCAAGUUUAACGAAUUGAUGGUUGAAUUCGAACCCAACGUCACGUGAACCAUAGAAGGUGGGUGUUUCCUUCUCUGCUGGCGAGGUAGAAUUCAAGGGAGAGUCGGCUUCGUUGAAACAUACAGCAAGGAAAAGUGCGAUGAUAGAAAUCCACUUCAUUGUGCCGGUUGUUAGGCUUGGCUUCAGAUCUUGUCUCUAUAGUGGUCAGGGCCAUGGAGAGGACCGUAGACUAUACAGCGCUAGGACAAUCGACAGAUAUCUUUGAAAUCGUUUUUACAUACUUGAAAUCGAAGAAUAUACAUAUUAAAAAACUUCCCUAAACUUGGUGGAAGUUUAGGGAAGGGCCCGUCCAGAGAUUGGCAUAAUGGGAAGGCCUAAUAUCACCGUAUAACCAUACUAUAUAAACGUGUGUUUCCGAUGCUUGGGAGCCAGUUGUUCUCCAGACCAACAUGGGUUGUUACUCUGCAGACAUGUGUUGCUUUAUGACCUUAAUAAAGUCAACUUUUGAAUUCACAUACUCCUGAGUCUUUUCAGCUUUUUGGCUGGAAAAGGGUAACAUUUUCCACAGCACCAGGUAUUUCUAGUGCGAGAUAUUGUCAUGCUCUCUCUGUGGUCAUAUUUAUGCACUGUAGUUGCUCCCACAAUUUAAAAGGUAGACGAGGUUUAGGUUAAUGGAACAGGUGUGACUAGGCCAGAAAGACAGAUGAAGUAUUUGACAGGCAACCAAUGGGACGAAGCACGGAGAGAGCAGAUGACUGGAAUAUGAGAGACUGUUGCGUUUAAACUGGCCUCAGCUGAAGAGUUUCCAGUCUGCACCGCUCCGCACAACCGCGUCCAGCUGCCCACGAUCUCCAAUGCGUAAUCCACUGCUUGGCACCGACCCCCGAUGUCCGUCCGCACCGCGUCCAGCCCCCCACUCUCCUAUGCAUGGUCUACUGCCCGGAACCGACCCCCGAUGUCCGUCCGCACCGCGUCCAGCCGCCCACUCUCCACUUCCAACCUGAGUGUGAGAGCAGCGACCCUGAAUGGCGAAAGAUGGGCUCGGUAUCACUGAGAUAGACGAGAAAUUCACCAGGAAUCUCAGCAACUUUUGUUUUCAUAAUUCAUACAGUCCAAAUGCCGGAGCACAAAACAACACAGGCAACGUGGAUGUUUUAAUGCAUUGAACAGUAUACGAAUAUAAACCAAAGAACGUUUUUUUCAGUUAACUUUCCCAAUUUGUGUUUUUAAUGAAACCAUACAAUUGACAGGAGGUUAAACUAUAGAUUGUCCAAUAUUAUUUGAAGUGAUUUGUGUGCACAUGGCUUUCACCGUUUAGCUUUGAUAUUCAUUCAAAUGUGUAAAAACAUACUGUAGCAGUAACACUGAAACCGCCCGUUGUAGGUGGAUGCCACUUAGAUGUUGAGGUAGAAACAUAGGUCCCCGAGUUUUGCCUUAUUUUCAGAUUUCACUCGGGAUGUGAAACACCUUGAUUAAGAUGAUCAAAUGAAUACUUCAUUGCCAGUGAAGGGGAAUGCGACGGUUUCCUUUUGCAGUUCAAGUGGUAGUAAGCAAGGACCAUUCGGCAGUGCGGAAUGUCCGUCCGCACCGGGUCCAGCCCCCCACUCUUCAAUGCGUGGUCCACUGCCCGACCCAAAGGCAAGGGGAACACGGUCAGCCAGCUCGUGUCUGAGAGACCCGAAGGCAAGGGGAAUGCGAGCAGGAACUCGCUCGUGUCGGGGAGAGAUAUCACGAGAUAGGAGAGAAAUUCACUCGGUGUCUCAUGAGUCUUUCAGCCACUGAUCAACAAGCGACCAACUUUUGUUUUGAUAGUAAGUGCAGUCCGAAUGUCGGAGGACAAAAUAACACAGACAAAGUGGAUUCAUGUUUUUCUUUUAUUAGAUAAUAGACUAUUCCAAUAUACACCAAAGAACAUAAGCACAUUUUUUUAAAGCCAUUUCACCAAUUUGUGUGUUUAAUGAAAUCAAACAAAAGACAAGAGGUUAAACAAUAGAUUGUCCUAUUUCAUUAGAAAAUAUUUGUGGCCACAUAGCAUACUCUAUUUACAAGUGACAAAAAUGUCCAUAUGUAAAAACGUAUUGUUGCAGUAAGGUUCAACCCAUCCGUUGUUGAAAACCACUGUAAUGUUGAGAUUAAAGUCUAUGUUCCCAAAUAAUAUCCUCUUCUCAUAUUUGACUCGGCGCUGGAGUCCUCCUUGUUAACGUUCAAGUUUUCCAAUAUACACCAAAGAACAUAAGCACAUUUUUUUUAAAGCCAUUUCACCAAUUUGUGUGUUUAAUGAAAUCAAACAAAAGACAAGAGGUUAAACAAUAGAUUGUCCUAUUUCAUUAGAAAAUAUUUGUGGCCACAUAGCAUACUCUAUUUACAAGUGACAAAAAUGUCCAUAUGUAAAAACGUAUUGUUGCAGUAAGGUUCAACCCAUCCGUUGUUGAAAACCACUGUAAUGUUGAGAUUAAAGUCUAUGUCCCCAAAUAAUAUCCUCUUCUCAUAUUUGACUCGGCGCUGGAGUCCUCCUUGUUGAAGUUUUACGAACUGAUGGUUGAAUUCGAACCCAACGUCACGUGGACCACAGAAGGUGGGUGUUUCCUUCUCUGCUGGCGAGGUAGAAUACAAGGGAGAGUCCGCUUCGUUGAAACAUGCAGCAAGGAGAAGUGCGAUGAUAGAAAUCCACUUCAUUGUGCCGGUUGGUAGGCUUGGCUUCAAAUCUUCUCUCCUGGUUGCUGGUAAACGCGAUGAACUGGUUGUUCUUUUCUCGGAUGAAGGUUUUCCGAUGAAGGUUUUCCGAUGGAGUUUAUGAAUAUAUUUUUCGAAGUCCAGUAUGUCAAAACAAUGUCUAAGAUCGAUGUCGAUUGUCCUUUCUGUGGAUAUAGCUGAUCCUUUCCUCACACUUCUCCGCAGGACUUCAACUUGAGUUUAUGUAUAUAUUUUUCGGUUUCCAGUGUUUGUAAUGUCGAUUGUCCAACCGCGGUCCUUUUCGCCGAAGACUCGGAAGGUUUUCGGUUGGCGUUUAUGUUAGAGAGUUGUCGAUUUUCCUAGCUCUGUAUACAGCCUACCGGUCCUUUCCUCAGACUUCUCCGCAGGACUUCAACUUGAGUUUAUGAAUAUAUUUUUCGAUUUACAGUAUGUAAAAACAAUGUUUAGGAGAGAUGUCGAUUGACCUAGCUCUGUAUACAGACUACCUGUCCUUUCCUCAGACUUCUCCGGAGCACUUCAACGUACGUUUUUUAAUAUGUAUUUUCUUCGAUUUCAAGUAUGUAAAAACGAUUUCAAAGAUAUCUGUCGAUUGUCCUAGCUCUGUAUAGUCUACGGUCCUCUCCAUGGCCCUGACCACUAUAGAGACUUUUUCAUGAAAUCGUGUUGUUUUUUCACACGAACCUCUGGAGUCGACAGAACAAUGAUAUAUACCAUGUAAUCAGUUGUAUAUGGAUUUUGUGUUAAUUGAUGAAACGUCAAACCAGGUUACCUGAGUCUAAGGCCUCAUAUUAUUAUUCUAAUUAGUCUAUUUGUCUUUGAUUCUUUUACAUUUGAUCUCCAAGAGAGACUGCUGAACAAUAAAGUACACAGUUCGGACUUCUGUGUGUGUGCGUCAAGGACGGCGGGUGCAUUUUUUAUCUGUAGCCUACUCUUGCUCCGGCUCCACUAUUAUCCCUAUGUUCAGUGCAGUGAGUGGUGGUUGUUUUAAUUUAAUAUAAAGGACAGAUGGACCUAUGGUUAGUUUCAAGUCUCGAUUUUCAAAGUUUAUUCAGCAAAUGCAUCGAAUAACACAGCGUCAUCCUGAACAAUGAAAUUCUUGUGACAUGGCCCACCGAAAGUAAGAACUUCCGAAAUAUGUCAAGUAAAAAUAUUGUUCGUGACUCUUGGAAGAGUUUGAUAAAUCACACCCCCCAUCGAUUCACUGUACCAAUCACAUAACGCCACCCAUCAGACCACCAAUCACAUCACGCCACCCAAUAUUUACCAUCAGUGGCUUGGGGACGGACCCAAAGUGAUGUGAAACAAGGUGAAUGCGAGCAGGAACUCGCUCGUGUCGGGGAGAGAUAUCACGAGAUAGGAGGGAAAUUCACUCGGUGUCUCAUGAGUCUUUCAGCCACUGAUCAACAAGCGACCAACUUUUGUUUUGAUAGUAAGUGCAGUCCGAAUGUCGGAGGACAAAAUAACACAGACAAGGUGGAUUCAUGUUUUUCCUUUAUUAGAUAGACUAUUCCAAUAUACACCAAAGAACAUAAGCACAUUUUUUAAAGUAAUUUCCCCAAUUUGUGUGUUUAAUGAAAUCAAACAAAAGACAAGAGGUUAAACAAUAGAUUGUCCUAUUUCAUUAGAAAAUAUUUGUGGCCACAUAGCUUACUCUAUUUACAAGUGACAAAAAUGUCCAUAUGUAAAAACGUAUUGUUGCAGUAAGGUUCAACCCAUCCGUUGUUGAAAACCACUGUAAUGUUGAGAUUAAAGUCUAUGUCCCCAAAUAAUAUCCUCUUCUCAUAUUUGACUCGGCGCUGGAGUCCUCCUUGUUCAAGUUUAACGAAUUGAUGGUUGAAUUCGAACCCAACGUCACGUGAACCAUAGAAGGUGGGUGUUUCCUUCUCUGCUGGCGAGGUAGAAUUCAAGGGAGAGUCGGCUUCGUUGAAACAUACAGCAAGGAAAAGUGCGAUGAUAGAAAUCCACUUCAUUGUGCCGGUUGUUAGGCUUGGCUUCAGAUCUUGUCUCUAUAGUGGUCAGGGCCAUGGAGAGGACCGUAGACUAUACAGCGCUAGGACAAUCGACAGAUAUCUUUGAAAUCGUUUUUACAUACUUGAAAUCGAAGAAUAUACAUAUUAAAAAACUUCCCUAAACUUGGUGGAAGUUUAGGGAAGGGCCCGUCCAGAGAUUGGCAUAAUGGGAAGGCCUAAUAUCACCGUAUAACCAUACUAUAUAAACGUGUGUUUCCGAUGCUUGGGAGCCAGUUGUUCUCCAGACCAACAUGGGUUGUUACUCUGCAGACAUGUGUUGCUUUAUGACCUUAAUAAAGUCAACUUUUGAAUUCACAUACUCCUGAGUCUUUUCAGCUUUUUGGCUGGAAAAGGGUAACAUUUUCCACAGCACCAGGUAUUUCUAGUGCGAGAUAUUGUCAUGCUCUCUCUGUGGUCAUAUUUAUGCACUGUAGUUGCUCCCACAAUUUAAAAGGUAGACGAGGUUUAGGUUAAUGGAACAGGUGUGACUAGGCCAGAAAGACAGAUGAAGUAUUUGACAGGCAACCAAUGGGACGAAGCACGGAGAGAGCAGAUGACUGGAAUAUGAGAGACUGUUGCGUUUAAACUGGCCUCAGCUGAAGAGUUUCCAGUCUGCACCGCUCCGCACAACCGCGUCCAGCUGCCCACGAUCUCCAAUGCGUAAUCCACUGCUU